UUGACAUCCUUGUGCACUCUCUCGCCAAUGGCCCAGAGGUACCGUAGUAACUAUAUUAUUCAUGCCCCUUCUCAUGUUUAUGUUUAUUGUUUUCGUCUAUCUUGUAAUUUCCUUUAUAGGUCAGUAAACCUCUAUUAGAGACAUCCCGAAAUGGAUAUCUUGCAGCGAUGUCAGCAUCAAGUUAUUCCUAUUUGUCAUUGCUCAAGCAUUUUGUUCCAAUAAUGAAUCCAGGCAAGCUUCUCAGAAAAUGAAAAAAAAAAAGGAAAAAAAAGUGGGCUGCCUGAUUUUUUUAGCUAGCUAGGGUCAUUUGCACUAUGGGACCACUUGAUGAAUGGCUAAGAUUGGCACCAUGUGCCUUGUUGGAACUUGUGGCUUGGUGUAGAUGGGCUGCCUAGCCAACCUCUAUAUUUGUAUGUAUGUGCAGUCAACUUACCAUAUAAACAUGUUGUCCAUGUAAUGUUGCAGGUGGUGCAUCAAUUUCUCUCACAUACAUUACUGCUGAAAGGAUCAUUCCUGGAUAUGGUGGGGGCAUGAGUUCAGCUAAAGCUGCUCUAGAGAGUGAUACCAAGGUGCUUGCAUUUGAAGCAGGAAGGCGCCACAAGAUUUGAGUUAAUACAAUAUCUGCUGGUCCAUUAAGAAGCCAUGCAGCCUAGGCCAUUGGAUUCAUCGACAUGAUGAUUGACUACUCAUCAACCAAUGUAGGAUUAUAUCAUGGUGAUUUCCCGGCAACUGCUGAAACUCCAUUAGCUUUUAACAGACAAAUAAAUUGCAUUCCCCAACUAGUGAAUUUUUUUUUUAAUUUUUUUUAUUGUAGUGAGAUGAUAGGAGUUGGCCAUGAAUACAUGGAAGAGUUCUUCGGUUGUUGCGAAUCCGUUUUGGCUAAAGAUGGUUUGUUUGUCCUAUAGGUUACAUAUUGUCUAUUAUAAUUUUUCUUAAUUAUGGCUUGAUUUGAAUUAUCUGAAAAGAAAGGUGUACUUGUAGUAGUCCAUUCAAAUGGCCCCACUUAGCCAUUUCCUCUUUAUUGAAUUGAGUUGUUACCAAUUUUGUGAAUGGGAUUCUUAUUAAACAAUCAUGUAAAUUAUUUUUUGAAUGACUAUCAGGUGUAAGAUUCAAAAUAAUAAUAAU